UACGAAGGGGGCUAGCGUUGCUCGGAAUCACUGGGCGUAAAGCGCACGUAGGCGGCUUCUUAAGUCAGGGGUGAAAUCCUGGAGCUCAACUCCAGAACUGCCUUUGAUACUGAGAAGCUUGAGUCCGGGAGAGGUGAGUGGAACUGCGAGUGUAGAGGUGAAAUUCGUAGAUAUUGGGAAGAACACCAGUGGCGAAGGCGGCUAUCUGGCCCGUUAUUGACGCUGAGGCGCGAAAGCGUGGGGAGCAAACAGG
rnacentral:rRNA from 1 species